rnacentral:rRNA from 1 species
GUGAGUAACACGUGGAUAACCUACCUAUAAGACUGGGAUAACUUCGGGAAACCGGAGCUAAUACCGGAUAAUAUUUUGAACCGCAUGGUUCAAAAGUGAAAGACGGUCUUGCUGUCACUUAUAGAUGGAUCCGCGCCGCAUUAGCUAGUUGGUAAGGUAACGGCUUACCAAGGCAACGAUGCAUAGCCGACCUGAGAGGGUGAUCGGCCACACUGGAACUGAGACACGGUCCAG